AUUUUCACAUUUUUCUUAUUAUUAGCUUACAUCAGUAAUCUUUAUACAUUGAGUUAUCCUUUUUGUUUUGUCUCAAGGGAUGCUCUAAAAUCAAAUCUUCAUUACCUCUCUUCAUAGGUGUUCUUCUUUUGGGAGACGCAUAUAAUAUGAGGCAUCCACUUACUGGUGGAGGAAUGACUGUUGCUUUUAAAGAUAUAAAACUAUGGAGAAAACUGCUAAAGGGUAUCCCUGACCUUUAUGAUGAUGCAGCUAUUUUCGAGGCCAAAAAAUCAUUUUACUGGGCAAGAAAAACAUCUCAUUCCUUUGUCGUGAAUAUCCUUGCUCAGGCUCUUUAUGAAUUAUUUUCUGCCACAGAUGGUAAGUUUAGACACUUUUUAGUGAAUAUUACUCAAUUGCAGAUUUUUAGCAUAGGAAAGGAAUAAACAAGUUAGUGAUUUGUCCAGAAAUAAAAAUGUUACCUGAGUUUGCUAACUCCCAAGUUGGUAGUUUUUUAAAAUUCCAUUUUGAGCAAUAGUUGUAGUUUUAGUUUUAGUUUGGAAGGUAGUGGAAUUUCCUUAGACAUUAAUAGCAAUGCCUCAGUAACAUAUUCAUUAUUUUGAAUUCCUCUGGUGCAGACUAGAUCAUGCUUGUCCUCACACACACAAGAUUGUGAUGGAAGGUGUUUUUGGCCAUGUAUUAAAAGGCAAUGUAGUCUUUUUCUUCCUAACACUAGUUUCAAUUUCUUUUUAAAGUAGUAUUUU
rnacentral:sRNA from 1 species